GAUGAACGCUGGCGGCGUGCUUAACACAUGCAAGUCGAACGGGAAAUAUUUCAUUGAGACUUCGGUGGAUUUGAUUUAUUUCUAGUGGCGGACGGGUGAGUAACGCGUGGGUAACCUGCCUUAUACAGGGGGAUAACAGUCAGAAAUGGCUGCUAAUACCGCAUAAGCGCACAGAGCUGCAUGGCUCAGUGUGAAAAACUCCGGUGGUAUAAGAUGGACCCGCGUUGGAUUAGCUAGUUGGUGGGGUAACGGCCCACCAAGGCGACGAUCCAUAGCCGGCCUGGGAGGGUGACCGGCCAAAUGGGGAUGGGGACAGGGCCCAGACUCCAACGGGAGGCGGAAGUGGGAAAUAUUGAACAAUGGGGGAAACCCUGAUGCACGGACGCGGGGUGAAGGAAGAGGUAUCUCGGAAUGUAACCUCCUAUCAGCAGGGAGGAUGGUGCCGUAACCGGACUAAGAAGCCCGGCUAACUACGU
rnacentral:rRNA from 1 species